UGGGGAAUUUUGGGACAAUGGGGGAAACCCUGAUCCAGCCAUCCCGCGUGUGCGAUGAAGGCCUUCGGGUUGUAAAGCACUUUUGGCAGGAAAGAGACGUCGCGGGUUAAUACCCCGCGAAACUGACGGUACCUGCAGAAUAAGCACCGGCUAACUACGUGCCAGCAGCCGCGGUAAUACGUAGGGUGCAAGCGUUAAUCGGAAUUACUGGGCGUAAAGCGUGCGCAGGCGGUUCGGAAAGAAAGAUGUGAAAUCCCAGAGCUUAACUUUGGAACUGCAUUUUUAACUACCGGGCUAGAGUGUGUCAGAGGGAGGUGGAAUUCCGCGUGUAGCAGUGAAAUGCGUAGAUAUGCGGAGGAACACCGAUGGCGAAGGCAGCCUCCUGGGAUAACACUGACGCUCAUGCACGAAAGCGUGGGGAGCAAACAGGAUUAGAUACCCUGGUAGUCCACGCCCUAAACGAUGUCAACUAGCUGUUGGGGGCCUUCGGGCCUUGGUAGCGCAGCUAACGCGUGAAGUUGACCGCCUGGGGAGUACGGCCGC
rnacentral:rRNA from 1 species